UACAGAGGGGGCAAGCGUUGUUCGGAAUUACUGGGCGUAAAGGGCGCGUAGGCGGCCUUCUAAGUCGAACGUGAAAUCCCCGGGCUCAACCCGGGAACUGCGUCCGAUACUGGAAGGCUUGAAUCCGGGAGAGGGAUGUGGAAUUCCAGGUGUAGCGGUGAAAUGCGUAGGUAUCUGGAGGAACACCGGUGGCGAAGGCGACAUCCUGGACCGGUAUUGACGCUGAGGCGCGAAAGCCAGGGGAGCAAACGGG
rnacentral:rRNA from 1 species